CCUACGGGAGGCUGCAGUAGGGAAUAUUGCUCAAUGGGGGAAACCCUGAAGCAGCAACGCCGCGUGGAGGAUGAAGGUUUUCGGAUUGUAAACUCCUUUUGUUAGAGAAGAUAAUGACGGUAUCUAACGAAUAAGCACCGGCUAACUCCGUGCCAGCAGCCGCGGUAAUACGGAGGGUGCAAGCGUUACUCGGAAUCACUGGGCGGAAAGAGCGCGUAGGCGGGAUAGCAAGUCAGAUGUGAAAUCCUAUGGCUUAACCAUAGAACUGCAUUUGAAACUAUUAUUCUAGAGUAUGGUAGAGGUAGGUGGAAUUCUUGGUGUAGGGGUAAAAUCCGUAGAGAUCAAGAGGAAUACUCAUUGCGAAGGCGACCUGCUAGAACAUAACUGACGCUGAUGCGCGAAAGCGUGGGGAGCAAACAGGAUUAGAUACCCCAGUAGUC
rnacentral:rRNA from 1 species